UACGGGCAGCAGUGGGGAAGUAUUGCACAAUGGGCGAAAGCCUGAUGCAGCUAUGCCGCGUGUAUGAAGAAGGCCUUAGGGUUGUAAAGUACUUUCAUCGGGGAGGAAAAAACAAAACUAAUAAUUUUAUUUCUUGACGUUACCCGAAAAAGAAGCACCGGCUAACUCCGUGCCAGCAGCCGCGGUAAUACGGAGGGUGCUAGCGUUAAUCAGAAUUACUGGGCGUAAAGAGCACGUAGGUGGUUUUUUAAGUCAGAUGUGAAAUCCCUGGGCUUUAACCUAGGAACUGCAUUUUGAAACUGAAAUACUAGAGUAUCGUAGAGGGAGGUAGAAUUCUAGGUGUAGCGGUGAAAUGCGUAGAUAUCUGGAGGAAUACCUGUGGCGAAAGCGGCCUCCUAAACGAAUACUGACACUGAGGGUGCGAAAGCGUGGGGAGCAAACAGGGAUUAGAUACC
rnacentral:rRNA from 1 species